GGAUAGCUCAGUUGGUUGCAGCAUGGUACCGAUAACGGCAAGGCUGCAGGUUCAAUCCCUGUAUGGGACU